AUCCAGCUGACGUGUCCCAAAUAGGAUGAAACGCGAAUCUUGAAU
rnacentral:hammerhead_ribozyme from 1 species